rnacentral:rRNA from 1 species
AGAGUUUGAUCCUGGCUCAGGACGAACGCUGGCGGCGUGCCUAAUACAUGCAAGUCGAGCGAGCUUGCCUAGAUGAUUUUAGUGCUUGCACUAAAUGAAACUAGAUACAAGCGAGCGGCGGACGGGUGAGUAACACGUGGGUAACCUGCCCAAGAGACUGGGAUAACACCUGGAAACAGAUGCUAAUACCGGAUAACAACACUAGACGCAUGUCUAGAGUUUGAAAGAUGGUUCUGCUAUCACUCUUGGAUGGACCUGCGGUGCAUUAGCUAGUUGGUAAGGUAACGGCUUACCAAGGCAAUGAUGCAUAGCCGAGUUGAGAGACUGAUCGGCCACAUUGGGACUGAGACACGGCCCAAACUCCUACGGGAGGCAGCAGUAGGGAAUCUUCCACAAUGGACGAAAGUCUGAUGGAGCAACGCCGCGUGAGUGAAGAAGGGUUUCGGCUCGUAAAGCUCUGUUGGUAGUGAAGAAAGAUAGAGGUAGUAACUGGCCUUUAUUUGACGGUAAUUACUUAGAAAGUCACGGCUAACUACGUGCCAGCAGCCGCGGUAAUACGUAGGUGGCAAGCGUUGUCCGGAUUUAUUGGGCGUAAAGCGAGUGCAGGCGGUUCAAUAAGUCUGAUGUGAAAGCCUUCGGCUCAACCGGAGAAUUGCAUCAGAAACUGUUGAACUUGAGUGCAGAAGAGGAGAGUGGAACUCCAUGUGUAGCGGUGGAAUGCGUAGACAUAUGGAAGAACACCAGUGGCGAAGGCGGCUCUCUGGUCUGCAACUGACGCUGAGGCUCGAAAGCAUGGGUAGCGAACAGGAUUAGAUACCCUGGUAGUCCACGCCGUAAACGAUGAUUACUAGGUGUCGGGGGGCCAAGGCCCUUCGGUGCCGGCGCAAACGCAUUAAGUAAUCCACCUGGGGAGUACGUUCGCAAGAAUGAAACUCAAAGGAAUUGACGGGGACCCGCACAAGCGGUGGAGCAUGUGGUUUAAUCCGAAGCAACGCGAAGAACCUUACCAAGUCUUGACAUCUGGAUGACAGGGACGUAACGGUCCCCUUACUUCGGUACAUCCAAGACAGGUGGUGCAUGGUUGUCGUCAGCUCGUGUCGUGAGAUGUCGGGUUAAGUCCCGCAACGAGCGCAACCCUUAUCUUCAGUAGCCAGCAGGUAAAGCCGGGCACUCUGGAGAGACUGCCGGGGAUAACCCGGAGGAAGGUGGGGAUGACGUCAAAUCAUCAUGCCCCUUAUGAUUUGGGCUACACACGUGCUACAAUGGCGUAAACAGAGGGAAGCGAGCCCGCGAGGGGGAGCAAAUCCCAAAAAUAACGUCCCAGUUCGGAUUGUAGUCUGCAACCCGACUACAUGAAGCUGGAAUCGCUAGUAAUCGCGGAUCAGAAUGCCGCGGUGAAUACGUUCCCGGGUCUUGCACUCACCGCCCGUCA